GCGGCGGUAGUGCAACGGUUAGCAUGCGCUCCGGGAACGAGUGAAUCCGGGUUCGAAUCUUGGCUGACGCA